CCAAGGAGUUGAACAUGUGCGCGAGUCACACAGUCUUGUUUAGGCUAGUGAGGCGCAAUGAAAGUAAAGCUUGUUAAGUUACGAUCCUCAUGUCAGUUAUUUGUUAAUCGAGUAACGGUGGGGCGCAGUAACAGCCCGCUAAUUUCGCUUUUUGACGAUAUGGCGGAGUUGUAGCGUACACGUUCAGACCCGAAAGAUGGUGAACUAUGCCUGGGCAAGACGAAGCCAGAGGAAACUCUGGUGGAGGUCUGUAGCGAUUCUGACGUGCAAAUCGAUCGUCAGACCUGGGUAUAGGGGCGAAAGACUAAUCGAACCAUC
rnacentral:rRNA from 1 species